rnacentral:rRNA from 2 species
AUCUAUACUGUGAAACUGCGAAUGGCUCAUUAAAUCAGUUAUCGUUUAUUUGAUAGUACCUUACUACUUGGAUAACCGUGGUAAUUCUAGAGCUAAUACAUGCUAAAAACCCCGACUUCGGAAGGGGUGUAUUUAUUAGAUAAAAAACCAAUGCCCUUCGGGGCUCCUUGGUGAUUCAUGAUAACUUAACGAAUCGCAUGGCCUUGCGCCGGCGAUGGUUCAUUCAAAUUUCUGCCCUAUCAACUUUCGAUGGUAGGAUAGUGGCCUACCAUGGUAUCAACGGGUAACGGGGAAUUAGGGUUCUAUUCCGGAGAGGGAGCCUGAGAAACGGCUACCACAUCCAAGGAAGGCAGCAGGCGCGCAAAUUACCCAAUCCCGACACGGGGAGGUAGUGACAAUAAAUACUGAUACAGGGCUCUUUUGGGUCUUGUAAUUGGAAUGAGUACAAUUUAAAUACCUUAACGAGGAACAAUUGGAGGGCAAGUCUGGUGCCAGCAGCCGCGGUAAUUCCAGCUCCAAUAGCGUAUAUUAAAGUUGUUGCAGUUAAAAAGCUCGUAGUUGAACCUUGGGCCUGGCUGGCCGGUCCGCCUCACCGCGUGUACUGGUCCGGCCGGGCCUUUCCUCCUGGGGAUCCGCAUGCCCUUCACUGGGUGUGUCGGGGAACCAGGACUUUUACUUUGAAAAAAUUAGAGUGUUCAAAGCAGGCCUUUGCUCGAAUACAUUAGCAUGGAAUAAUAGAAUAGGACGUGCGGUCCUAUUUUGUUGGUUUCUAGGACCGCCGUAAUGAUUAAUAGGGAUAGUCGGGGGCAUCAGUAUUCAAUUGUCAGAGGUGAAAUUCUUGGAUUUAUUGAAGACUAACUACUGCGAAAGCAUUUGCCAAGGAUGUUUUCAUUAAUCAGUGAACGAAAGUUAGGGGAUCGAAGACGAUCAGAUACCGUCGUAGUCUUAACCGUAAACUAUGCCGACUAGGGAUCGGGCGAUGUUAUUAUUUUGACUCGCUCGGCACCUUACGAGAAAUCAAAGUCU